GUAAACUGCCCAGUCUUGAGCAUGUCUUUAUCAGCAGUGUGAGAACAGACUAAUACAGCGGUGAUCCAAGAAAAGGGAGAAGGAAUCAUAUCUAAACAAAUGAACACAUAUUUGUGAAAACACGGAGUCAGCAAAAGGGAGAAUGGUCCAUUGGGAAGAAGUAGAGUGUGAACAAGAGGAAGCAAUAAGAGAUGAACUUGCAGAGGCCUUGCUGGCUUUGGGUGCAUGUCGGGGGAGGUAGAUUUGUAUUAUGUAAGGAAUGACAGGAAGAAUGGCAUGAUCAUAAUGAACUUUCAGGAAGAUCCCUACAAAAACAUAUUGUAGGUCAGAAUGACAAAGGGCAAGAACAGUUUGGGAAUCUUUAUAAUUAAUUCAGAUGAGACAUGAGGAUUUAGAGUAUAGACCAGGGCUAAAAACAUUUUCAGUAAAGGACCAGAUAAUAAAUAUUUUAGGCUUUGCGGGCUCUAUAUUCUCUGUCAUCACUACUGAACCUGCCAUUGUAGCAUGAAAAAAACUAUAGAAAAUAUGCAAAACAUUGAGCAAAUCUGUGUCUCUAUGAAACUAUCUGCGGAAACAUAUGGCAAGUGAGAGUUGGUGUGUAGUUUGUGUCUCUUCUGGGUCACUGCGCACUGCACCACUCACAAGCGAACCUAUAUAGCUGCUUAAUUGCUACCCACAUCAAGAGAUUGAAGGAACGUAUAGAAAAAAAAGGAAAGGUAAAAAAAAAAAAAUCACUACCGUUUUUGUUUGUUUGUUUUGGUUUUUUUUAGAAAUCAAAGACAUACCUGUAUGGAUAACAAACACGUUUUCACAGCCACAAAUACACACCUCUUUAAUUCCUUCCUUUGGUGGGAUGGGACCAAGGUAUGUGGGGAAGCUCAUGGCUGAGAAGCCACAAGCAGGUCACUGUAACUUGACUCUAGCUCAUCACUUGGCGUGAUUCCUGGUGCCUUUCUUUAGUCAUCAGUGCCUCACACCCAGGGUAAAUUUAGUUGUGAUUUUUUUUCUCUCCUAAUAAAGUCAGCACUUGAAUUUCUGCAAGUAGAACAGCCUUGCAUUGCCAUUUACCACGUGCUUAGGCCACUCGGUUAUCUACAAAUGAUGACAGCAAACGCCUUUGAACAACAGCUUAAGGGAAGUGUCUUUAGGGAAAGAAAAUAUGGAACAAAGCACCACAUUUCUAACUCAAAUACUCUUAAAAAUCUGUGGAAUGCUCUCUCUGAUAGUGUCACUGCACUGACAGUUUUCCUCCCCGUAGCUAUGGGUGAGGAUUAGCUGGCAGGAUCCUCAGGUGCUCUCUGGGCUCCCAGGGUGGGGGACCCUUCGGGGGGAUAAUAUUUGAGUUCCCAAAAGGGGCCCUGAAUUCUCUCGCUCUGUCCUGUCUCCCAGGUUUCUGUCUAUUCGCAUUCAACAUCUUUCCUGAAGCUUCCUCUUAAAUGCUCUUCCAUAGAGAUUCCCCUGUCACUCUGUCACUGUUAGAGACAUUGAAAGCUUACUCUCUCUCUCUUUCACUCUCUCUCUUUCUCUCUACCUCCCCUCCUACAUUAUUAUUAUUUUUUCUAGUCUAGCAAUGAUUUGAGGUUUAUUUGCCCCAUUCCCUGCUCAGUCUUCCAUGUGGUGAAAAGCCCAUCCUGAUGUCUGGCUGGGAUACAAAGAGGGUUGGCUGGAUGCAGCAGAGCCACCUGUGCCCAGUGUGGACAUUUAACUUCGACCUCUCUCACACCAUGCUUCAGAACGCUGAGAGCAAUCCCCCAGUCACCAUCACUCCUUUACAGUGCCAUAGAAAUUAAAAGUUAAUUAAAGAAAAGGGCAGGACACAUUUCUGUAAAGCAUCAAACACUCGGGGGGAAAUUCAUUUAUAGUCUCCUUUAUAGCUGCCGUUGAUCAGGUUCUUCCUUCCAGGGUUACAGAGAACUCCCUGGAAAUAGUGUCUAGCAUUACAAGUCUUACAGCCGAGGGCCUCAUUGUUUCAAUGUACUGAGAUGCAGCCACAUAAAACUUAACCAGCAACAAAGGCUGAGGGCCCCCUCUCGGGAUUGCCCUUCCAAGUGCUUCUCACAGCAGCCUGAAAACACUGGUAUAAACGUGGCUUCCAAGGUCUAGGAGUCAGUAGUUGGCAGACAAUGUCAGAGUGGUUGGGAAAUAAUCUAUUUUAGCUUGCUACCAUGAAGCUCUUUUUACUCCUCCCUCAUAAAUAUCUGCUUCCUAAUGGACAUGAGAAGAAAGGUUUUCAAAAUCCCUCAAAUAGUUAAGAAUCAGAGGAAGUCUAGGAAGUAACUUUUAACUCCACCAUGGUACCAUUCACACUGAAAAAAUACACAUAGAGUCUUAGUAUUGAAGUAGCUUUAACAGUGAUCUAGUCCAUAACCCAGCAUCUUCUCCUGCCCCGAUAAACGCUUGUCUGGUCAUUGGACAACAAAUGAUUGUUGAGAAUUUGCUAUGUGACAGGCACUGUGUGAAAUAUUAGAGUGAGAAGGAUAAGACUCCCAACACGAUCUACUCAAUUUUGUAAACUUCUAGUGACAGGGAACUCCUUACAUCUACCUUCCUACUUGGGAGAGCUCUGUAUGUCUGAAAUUAUCAUUUAAUUACUCACUUAGCUUCUAAUUGUUGAUCCUAAUUCUAUUCCUUGAGAUACACAUGAUAAACUUUUUAAAUUGUAAUAUAAGUUCCCCCCAAUGGAGUCUAAUUCUCCUUCUUGACAGAUUAAUGCAUAGAAAAGGUAGACUACAUAAAGGUGUUCCCCCAAUGCCAGGAAAGGCAGGAGGCUGUCUGUUUUCUAAUGGGCAAUAGAUAAUACGAUACAUCUUGGAGAGUUUCCUUAUUUGGCAGCCUAAAGCAUCUCUCAGAAUCUGAGGGUAAGCACAGAGGGUAAGGUCGCUGACCUGUGACAACUGAAGGUAUUUUACUGCAUUCUCAUCCUCAAACACAGGAUAAAAAGAAUGAAAAACAGUAGGAAGACACCUUCAAAGCCAUAAAUCUCUAACUUCAUAUUGUUUUGUUAAAUAUUUUCUUUCUUUUUUGUUGACAUGCUUAUUUUUCUAGACAGAUGUACAUCCAUUGCAUUAGAGUAAGAGGUAUACCUUCCUGCCAAAACGUCCGUGGAGUAAGACUCCAGAGUUAUACUAAUUUGUACAUAGUUAUUCAAAUUAAAAACAGCAAGAAAGACCACAUUUCUGAACCUGGGUCUGAUAGAAGACAAGAACCCUAUCUUCUUUAGACUAUAAUAAAAGUUAGCGAUAGUGAUUUUUAAUACUCAUUUUUUUCUUCUCUAUGCAUCGAUUGUUCUGGGUAAGUAUUCUCAUGACUCCUAGAGAAGGAAGGGAGAGUAAAGGCAAGAAGUCAUAAUUGGAUCUUCACAAUGAGCUUCUCACUCUCUUUCAGGAAUCUUAGAUACCACUAAAAAUGCUGUCUUUUCAUCAGGUAGCUGAGCCUGAAAUUAAACUUUUGAAGUAUAGUCUUUGGAGGAUUCUGUUUCUCUUUUCUCUCUCCUUUUAGUAUUGAUUUUUCUCCUUUCACUUGUUGGUGCUACUUCUUUUCUUGUUGCUGGAGAUUUGUUAGAGCCACAUUUGUACAUGAUUUCUUAUUUAUGUUUGUUUUGUACAUAAGCACCAGAUGCUUCAAGUUCCAGCUUCCCAAUCAGUCAAGAGAGUUCUACAGAAGUCAGGGCUGUCACUCAGAAGAAUGAGGAACCCACCCACUUCUCCUGAUCCCAAGGCAGGUUCAUCAGAGACACAGGCAAGACUGCCCUGUGGACAUUGGCAGUGGAAUUGACUAAGUGCCUAUCGUGUUGAGAAGAAAAAUAUUAUAAGCAUAUAUCCCUAAUCAGGAAUCAGGAGGAUUAACUAAAUUUUUUAAGAUGGCAGUAGAAAUGGAAAGAAAGUUUGUAAACAUUCACAAGUGAGAUCAUGUCUCUCAAAAGAAAGCACUGAUUCCAGGUGUCCCAUGAGAGCUUGUACUCAUGCCUGUAAAAAAAUAUACUGCUACUCUACAGGUAUGAUGUUACCUUUAAAGAAUAUGCUCCCUGUUGUGAACACGAUUUCUACAAUCCUAGAAAGGUGAUAGAUGAUGGUUUUCACUGUGGCAUAUUAUAUAUUCACACAUACCUGCCUUUCCACUGACCUUGGAAAAUAGUCAAGUCAUCCUGAAGACAUUCCAGGUGAGCUCAUUGUCUAAGAUUCUCUGCCUUGUGGAUGCAUGCAGAAUAUUUGGCAUUUCUCUCAAGUCUCGAGAUGCCUGUGUGUGCUUGGGCCCUGACCACAACAUCUCCAAGGAGACAUGCUGAAAGCAUUCCUCCUACUUACCCAUAAUUUCUGUUAAAGCCAGAAAGGAAGAAAUCAUGGAACAAAUUUGUAUGCAGUUUUGCAUUUUGUGAGUAUGACAUACUAGUCAGCCUGACAUUACACCUUUCCUGAUUCGAAGUAAUAAGAUAGUCCAUAAAAUAUUAGGAGAGACCUAGAAUAUCCAAAUUCUUGUCCUUACACUGCCUCUCAUCAGCUAUUGAUCUGAGCAAAUCAUUUUACUUCUCUGCCUUUCAUUUCCUAUUGAAUGGUAACAAUGACGAUUUUUCCUUUUUCACAGAGUAAUUGUGAAAAUCAUAUUAGAUCAUGCCAAUGAAAAAGCUUUAUGAAGUCCUCUCUGAAAGGCAUGUUGCUGGGCGAAGUGGGUAAAGGUAAAUCAUGAGCUCCACUUUUUCUGUCUUGGCCUUGGCCUCACACAAUCCCAGUGUUGGGCAACUGAUACUGCUUAGUGGAACCACAGCAUGAUGAUGACGAAAGGAAACAGGAUGAGAACUUCUUAGGCUUUGGUGCCAUACCACUAAAAUGUGGUUCACAUCAUGUUAAAUAGUUCACAAUGCUCGUUUCCUUGCACUGUCUUGCUCUAUCCAUUCCCAAGCAUAAAUAUGACUUUCUCCAUUUUAUGGACAAGGAAACUGAUGUGAAAAGAGGGUGAAUAACUUGCACAAUCACAUUAUUGUCUAUUAGAAGAACUUAGGAAUUCGAGGGUAAGAUUUCAUGUGAUCUAGCCCUAUUAUAUAAAGACAGCAACUGUCUAUUCGGUCCCUUCACUUAGACAACACAUGUUAUUGAGGACUAACUGUAGGCCCAGGCAUUUUUGCAGGCACUGAGGAGACACCAGUGACUAAAACAAGCAAAGUUUCUACCUUCGUGAAGUGGCAGCAUCUUCUGGAAAGGAGCUGACCAUAAAGAAGCAAAGAUAAAAUUAUGGGAGAUGUCAAAUACGGCUAAGUGCUACAGAGACAAAUCAAGUGGGGUAUAUGGAGGGCCAGGAUGAGUGAAGAUGCUGUUAUUUUAUACUGAGGACAUUCCCAUGUGAGAAGAUCACCUGAAAGCAGAGACCUGGCUAAAAUCAGGUUUAAGUCAUGCAACUAACUUGACGAACAGUGCUCUCAGCAGAGGGACCAGUAAGUAGAAAGCAGAUACAUAGCCCUUGAAAGGGACCCAGGGGACAUGGUCCAUGACCGGCAAGGAAGGCAGAGUGGGCAUGGGGUCAGCCGGCUGAGUACGCCACGUGUAAAUAGGGGCAAAUGAGGCCACACACUGGCCGGGCAUUGUGCCAGUCCUCAUGGGCCAAGUGCAGACAGAUUUUCUUCUGAACGACUGUGAAACUGUGUCAUGGAUCUCUAAAGUUCUUUGCUGUGUCCACUUGAGCAGAUGAUGCACACCAGCUCCUUCCAUCCUAACCAUUUAAACCUGCAUAUGUUAGAAAUGUCCCUAAAUACUGUCGUCUUCAACCUGAGACUAAGGAUGGGAAAGACAAACUUUCCUGUCUCAGCUAGAAAGUUUACAGUGAAGUGUGUGCAUUUUAUUUCAAGUCCUGUGUUUAGCCCUCCGUGUAAGUAAAGUAAUUCUUCAAAGAGGCAUCCUCAUUUCUAAACAAAGUCCCUCUGGGAAACCUCCUGUAUCCAUCAGGAUGUGCAUCUCAUGGAAGGGAAGCGAGUCCUACUUACCCUCAGUGGUUACGGGUGACUGUUCUUACCUCCUUCCAGUGCACCUAUCAGGUGCCAUGUAACACGGUCCCUAGCCAUCUUGAGAAAUUAGAUCAAUCCCCCUUUGCCCAUUAAAAGGCUCAUAAACAUUUGUAGCAUCAAAUUAGUGCUGGUAGAUUUCCCAAACUUGGAACACGUUAAAAUGCACAGUUGGGUAAGAAGAAUCAAUUAGGGCCAGACAGGGUGUUGGAAGUUAAACAAUUUGUCUAUUUUAUGAUUCUACACUGUGGAAAGGGGGUGUGUGUGUGUGUGUGUGUGUGUUUACACUUUAGUUCAGAUUUAAAAUCACUCAUGUGUAUAGUUUGUGUAAUUCAAUUUGUGAUUGGAGCAGAAACUACCCACAAAGUGAGAGGUUAUUUUUUGAGGAGUCAGAAAAGGCUUGUAUUUACAACUUUGUAAUUUGUAAUUAAGCUUAUUGUAGCUUUCCCACCUCCUAAACCUCAGUCAACUAAGCUUAAAUUUAGACAGGAAACUAGCAAUUAUUCAGCAAAUACACUAUGCAUACGAUAAUCAUAAUCCAGAUAAAAAAGACCAAACCUGGCUAGUUGCCUCUUCUCCCAAAUUCAUCAAACAAUUGACAGUUUUCCAACAUUUUUUCUGCCUUUACCAUCCUUUCUAAAUAAAGGCCAAAAAUAGGUAAGGAAGAUAAUAUAGAAUAGAGGUUAUUCACUUGGGGUCUAUGGGCCCCCAUGGGGUCUGUGAAUAGAAUUCAGGGAGGUCUAUCAACUUCAAUGGGGAGGAAAAUUACAUCUUUAUUCUCACUCACCUCUAAUUGAAAUGUAGCAUAUCCUUUAUUUAUGAAUAUAGAGAACCAAGCACAGAAGUGUCAGAAGUGCCUGGGACUUUAUCAGUGAGAAAAAUCACAGCUAUUUUUAUAUCCUAUUAUACGCGGUGCCAAUAUCUUGAAAUAUCCUUUUCACUCAACAUUUCUUCCAAUUUGUGUUAGUUGUUAGACUCACUGCUAGAUUUGAAUUUAAUGCAUUAAUCAUGAAGCACAUGCUAUACCACAAUUUUUUAAAUAUUUUGAUAGCUGCAUUUUAAUACAAUUAAUUUUCUUUGUAAUCCUAUCUACGUGUCAAAAGGAUCUAGAGCUCAAAAAUCUGAAGAACCCCAGGUCUAGAGAGGCAAGCGCUGCCAUUCUAAGAGGCUCUGCUGGAUGGUGCAGUGUGGACGAACAGCUUCCGCUAGGUUCCUCCCAAACAGGUUUCCCUGCCUCGCCCCUCACAGCGCCUAAAAGUCUACCAAGAAAAGGGUUCGCUUUUACUACAAUAUUUCUUCCCUGCACAUCAUUAACAGCACACAGGAAAUUAAUUUGUAACUUAAAAAGAGAAGAAGAAUAUAAUUGGCAAUAAAAUAGUUACUAAGCCAAGCACUCGGCUAAGCACUUUACUUAAAAUCUCAUUUAAUCUUCAAAAAUCUGUAAGUGGGUACUAUUAUUUUCCCCAAUUGAUAGAAGAGAAGACCGAGAUUCAGAAAGGUUAAGUGCCUUGCCCAGUAACACCCAACGAGAUCUUUUCUGAACUAAAGUCAGUGACUCACUGAGAGUUAUUUUUAUGUAAUGCCCGUUCACAUGAAAGAAUGUGAUGUGAGGGAAGAACAGGAAAAAGUUACAUGGCCCGUGCAGGAGUUCAGGACAUGCCACCGCUUUGGCACAUUGAUUAUUUUAAGCUAAAAGCACUUGAAAAACAGCAGGCUCAAGAAAAGCAUUCUGACCUUCCCUUUUCUCCCUGGAAGCCGGAGCUGUAACUCCCAGGUGAAAGGUGCCCUCUCUAGACCAGGGGAAAUAAACAUUCUUAUCACCAGAGACGGGCAGUCGAGGUGAGAAAUCUGUACAAACAGACCUUGUUAAAAUAAUUCCUAUCUGCCUUAUUUUAGUUACUUUUUCGCAGUUGCCUCUCUUUGCUCAGCGCAGUAUAUAAGCACUUACUCCUGGCCAGUUCUGGGCCUACAUUUUUUUAAAUGGGGGCUCUCAUAUAUAUGCAAAAAUUACUGAAAAAAAUUGUGUAUGCUUUUCUCCGUUUCAUCUCAUUUAUGUCAGUACCAGCUGGAAAACCUAAGAGGCCAGAGGAAGAAUUUUACCUCCCCUAUACCAGCAGUUUUCAAAGUGUGACCUGCGGACCCUAUGGGGUCCCUGAGACUUUUUCAGAAGGUAACUGUCCUCAGAAUAAUCCUAAGACAUCAUUUCCCUUUUUCAUUGUGUUAAUAAGAGUAACAGAAGUGCCAAGACAAUAGUGGGCGGAACUUCUGGCAACUGAGCAAGAAUCAAAGCAGUGGCAGCAAACUAUCGGUUGUCACCGCGUGCUUCCUCACCAUGCCUGUGCACAAAGGAGGAAAAAAAAGAGAGAAGAAAAGAAAAGGAAAGAAAAAGACAAUGCCUGUUGUCCUGUUUCACUUAAGAAUGUCCUUGAAUGAAGGAAAGAGUAAUUUUAGUAUAUCUUGACUCCGGAGGACACAUGUUUAAAUAUUCCGUACAACCAAAAUAGAAAGCAUACAUCCAGCACUUAUGCAUACCAUAGUAUAGUGGCUGUCUACAAGGCCUGCCACCUGUGUUUUUCUUUGGAAAAUUUGAACUGAGAAUUUAAAAAAAAAAAAAAAUUUAAAGGUUGUUAAAAAAAAAAAAAGAAUAUUUGACAGAUACCUUAUGUAGCCCACAAAGCCUAAAAUACUUUCUUUCUGGUCCUUACAGAAAAAGUUUGCCAGCAGGAAAAAAGCAAUUGUGUCAUCAUUCGAAUUGUGAGCAGAAAUAUCUGCAUUUUUCAUGAAACACUGCUUUUCCUUGAAUGAUCUUGAAUGAAAUUACACUUAUUCAGAAUUGGUAUCUUGAACACAUUUUCUCAAGAAGUGUCAUUUCAAGGAAAACAAUUGAUAGUAUUUAUUGCCAGUUAUAAAAUUUGAGCUUUCAUGGAGAAAAUAAGAGCUUUGGAAAACUUGAAUUCAUCACCAUGACUUGACAGCUUUCCAAUAUUUAAAGACUUUUCAGAUGAGAUUGGGGGUGUUAUUAAUAAGUUUUAUUUUUAUAUUAUAUGAUGAAAUGUGUCAAUAUUUGGAGGAUCUGCAUAACUCUGUAAAUCAAUAUUUUCCAAGUGAUUUUUAGGGUGUGAUUUUACAAAACUGAGCAUGGUAAAAAUAUCAAUUCAAAAUACAAGACAGACCAGCAGAUAGAUAUUGGGGUAAAACAGACGUACCAUAAAAUUCACUCUUUUUAGGGAUACAGUUCAAUGUGUGUUAGUAUAGAGUUGUGGAACUAUUAUAACAAUCUCAUUUUCAAAGAAUACUAUCACCCCACAAAAAAGCCUCUUGCCAUUUAUAAUGAUUCCCCAUCUCACAACCAGUCUUAAGCCUCUAGUAUACUUUGUUUUUACAGAUUUGCCUUUUCUUGACUUUUCUUGUACAUAGAAUUGUAAAGUAUAUGUUCAUGACUAGUUUCUUUCACUUAUUUUCAAGGUCCAUCCAUGUUGUAACAUGUACGAGUAUUCAUUCCUUUGUAUUGCCUGUAUGAGAUAUAAAAACACACACAAAACUGUUUUUCCUUCUCUCACAUCCAACACUUAAUACUUCAUCACCAAAAUGUACAGGGAGUUUUCCCCACUCACCAAGCAAUUCCCCAGUACACAGUUAAAUUGUGUUAAUUGUGUUCAAUGGUGUCCUACCAUUUAAGUCAAUUCUGACAUUAUCUAUUAUAUUUGAAGUUAGCCUCAGAUCACGCAGGGUAAGGGCUUAAUCCCACAAGACUGCCCUAACCUCAGAUGCCAAUAUGAAGCCCGGACUGUUUGGCCUGACAAACAACUAUACAUAGGGAACUAUCACAAUCCCGUGGGGCAGAUUUGCUAGGGCGGUUUACAGAACUCAAGGAAACACUUUACUUACUACUACCGAUUUAAUACAGGGAUUUUUUAAAGGAUACAAAUAGGCAGAUGAAGAGAUGCACAGGGAGAGGUUCAGGAGGAUCCCAAGUGCCGGAGCUUCUGGCCCCAUGGAGUUGGGGUACACCAUCCUCCUGGCAUUUGGAUGUGUUCUUGUUCAUCAAUCUGGAAGCUCUUAGAAGAACUCAGUCCUUCUGGUGUUUUAUGGAGCUUUCAUUGCAUUAGCAUAAUUGAUUAAAUCGUUGAUCACUGGUGAUCAAAUCAAUGUUUAGGUACUCUCCCCUCCCUCCAGGUUGGAGAUUGGGAGUGAAAGUUCCAAGGCUCUAAUCACAAAGUGGGUUCCCCUUGGCAAGCAGCCCCUAUCCUGAGGCUACCAAGGAGCCCCCAGUCAUCAGUCAUCUCAUUAGCAUGCAAAAAGACACUUAGCACUGAAGAAGUUCCAAGGGUUUUAGGAGUUGUAUGGGAGGAAACAAGGAUAAAGACUAAACAUAUAUUUCUCAUAAAUCACAAUCUCACAUUGCCAAAUAGUAUUCCAUAAUAUGGAUAUGCCGCGUAUUGAUUGUGCUUUCACUGGCUGAUGGACAUCAGGGCUGCUUCCAUUUGGGAGCUAUCACGAGUGACUGAGUAAUGCCACUAUGAACAAUUGCAUACGCGUCUUUGUGGGACAUGUCGAAACUGCCUUUGCAAAGAUUACGACAGAGAGAAAUCUAGCAUAACAGACUCCAUCUUUCUUCUAGCCUCACAGGCUCUCUGUUCUCACUCAUUCCUGGGCAUAGGCCAAGCUAAGCACAGAAGGGAUUUAGUUUAUAGUUUAACUGAAGCAGGGAAUAAUUAAUCCUUCCCUAAAACUAUUCCCCUCCUUGCCCAGGGACCAAAGCCACUUUUGUAAAGCUAAUAAAAGGCUCUGAGAUUAGGAUUAUGGGAGGGGCCUGAAUUCUGCUAAAAUGGAGGCAUAGUUUGUAUGAUCCCUUACGGCACAGGAGACAUGUGGUCAAAGAUCUGUUCCUAUGGAUAACAUCACUAUUCUAGAACCUAAGAUUGGUCUUGUGAUGUUUUUCAGAUUACUGCAUUCUGGUAACCGACUGACGACACCCAGUGUUGUCACUCAUGACCCAGAGGUGGACUCAAUGUACAAGGGCCAUUUUCCAUACUCCUGUGAUUUCAUCCCCAACCAAUCAGCAAAUCCAUUCCCUACUCCCCUGCUCACCAAAUUAUCCAUAAAAGCCUUAGUCUCUGCAUUCUUGGAGAGGCUAAUUUGAGUAAUAAACUCCUCUGCUCUGCUUAGCUGGCCGUGCAUUAAUUAAACUCUUCAUUUACUGGAAUAUUGUUGUCUCAGUGAAUUGGGUUUACCUGAGUAGACGGCAGGAAGAAUCGCUGGGUGAUUACAAUAUGAUUUCAUUUCUCCUGGGUGAAUAUAUAGGAGCAGGAUUGCUGGGCCACACGGUAACUCCAUGUUUAACAUUUUAGCCAUGUGAGUGAGCUACUGUGGAAGCUAUUCCUCCAGCCCUGGUCAGGCAGCCUUCAGAUGUCUGCAGACUCAUCAGAGUCCCUGAGGCAGAACCACCAACCUAAUCCAUCCAGGAUUCCUGAGCCUCAGAAAUUGUGAAAUAAAUAUUUGCUUUAUGCUGUUGUGUUUAGGGUAAUGUGUUAUACAGCAAAAGAUAACCAAUGCAGUUUUCUCAGAUUUCUCCUCAGCCUCGACACCUUUGCGGACAAGAUCGGCUUCAAGACCCUUAAUUGCAUUUUUAAGAAGCCAUACUUUCCUCCCUUUGGUGACCGGUUGGUGUGAUGUCCAACGGAAGAUAAUGUUACAGUUCAGCUAUGUACAAUUUCACUGUAGAUUCCAUUUCAAAAUUGGUCUUUGCUUCUCUAAGGAGGAGUGCUUUGACUAUGAUAAGACACUCGAAUGCCAACACAACAGACCUAACAGUUAAUCUCUUUGAAUGAAUAAUCAUGCCCUAUGCAUAAAAAUUUGCUUUAUAAAUAAUGUUAUUAUGUUAGUUGUUUAGAAGAAAACUAGUUCUCAGUUUCAGCAAAUGUGACAAAAAUUAAUAAAUCGACUGAAGCAUAAUCAAUAAUAUGAAGCAAUGGGAACUGAUUUAACAUGGGGAAGUGGCAUGAUAGAUAUCAAAUAAUACCUUGGUAGGAUAUGAUGUAAAUGUAAACAAAAAGUUGAGAAAGAAGUAGGUAGUCAGGCAGGCAUGAGGAGGACAGGAGAGGUCCCCCCUCCAGCAAUGUCAGGUGUCUAUCAGGUGAUGGUCAUGCAGUUGUUAAACUCUCUGUCUAAAAUAAGAAUCGGUCACAGCCAGCACCAGGGAAAGACAGUCUCCCAAUAGAUAGAAAACAGUUGAAGCUGGUGAUCGGUAGCUUCCCGAUAAGAUCUCAGGAGCUGGGCAAGCAGACUCAGGCAUGCACUCUAUGAGGCAAAAUGGCAGAGUUUAACUGGUAUAUGACCUUCCUCUAGGAAUACUCGACUGGCAAGGGAAAAAACCUCCAGUCAGCAUGCAUAGAACUCCAGCAAGCACGCUGUGCACGCGACCCCUCCGAAGUGCUGGCGCGCCACUAUGCACGGAGACACCCACCGCAGGGGAAGGACCAGGAGAGAAGAGACACAAAUCCCGAAGUGUGCCAACAUAGAAAAACCCAAAUCCAAGGCCGCACAGCACACCUGGAUCUCACAAAUCAGGCACUUGGCCCUCUUUGAAGUGCACUUUACUUCCUUAUGACCCUGCUCUAAAGCUUUUUAAGUAAAAUUUCACUCUUGCUCUAAAACUUGCCUCAAUCUCUCACUCUGCCUUAUGCCCCUCGGAUGAGUUCUUUUCUCUGAGGAGAUAAGAAUUGAAUUGCUGCCGACCCAUAUGGAUUUGCCAAUGCUAACAACCAUACCAUGUUUACAUUCACACCAGCAGUGAAUGAGGGUUCCAAUUUCCCCAUAUCCUCCUAAAAUCUUGUUAUUGUCCAAAGUAUUAUAGCUAUUCUAUGGUUGUGAAGGAGAAUUUCAUAGUGAGUUUAAUUUGAGUUUUCCUAAUGACUAAUGAUGUUGAAUAUUUUUCAUGUGAUUAAUGGCCAUUUCUAUAUCUUCCAUGAAGAAAUGUGUGUUGAAAUUCUUUGUACAAUUUUUAAACUUUUUAUUUUGAAGUAUUUACAGAUUCUCAGUAAGUUGCAAAGAUAGUAAAGAAAAAACUAGUACAUUUUAAUGUAACAGAUCAAGAAAAUCUAAUUGAUAUGGUUUCUGAUUUUACAUUGCAACUACUUUUUAAGAAAGUAUCACUUGUUGAGUUUUGGUAUACUAUCAAAGAAGAAUAUCCACAACUAUCAUAAAAUCUAUGAAAAUCCUCCCUUUUCUUACUACAGUCUGUGUGAAGCCAGAUAUUCUUUACAUACUUAAAAUAUAUAUAUAUAGUAACUAAUUAAAUUUAAAACCAGAUAUAAGGCAGUGGCUGCGUUCUAAGAAACUUGCAAAACUAUAAAGCAAUGUCAUUCUUCUCAUUAAUGUUUUUGUAAAACAAUAUAGCUAUCUUUCAUAAAAAUUACUUAUGUUAACAUGGAAUGAAAUUUGUAUUGCUACUUUUCAAAGAAUUAAAAAGCAUGAAUUUUUUGUCAGUUUUAGUUUGCCAUGUGGAAGUAUUGCUACAUAUCCCUCAUGAACAAAAGCUCUUUGGAAUCCUUAACAAUUUCAAGCAUGUAGAAAGAUCCUAAGACCAAAGAGUGUGAGAAUUGCUGCUCUAAGUGUUACCCUAGGAAGACAGGUGUGGGUGAGCACUGCACCCCUGAGGCAAUGAGGACAGUGUGGCCUCCUUAGGAAGCCGGUGGGUUACGUGAACACAGAGAGAGUGAGGGGAGGACUCUGAGGACAGAAGUUGGGGUUUCUCACAGGCACAUACAUGCACACAUGUAAACUCCAAUCUCUGAGAAAAACUAGGAAGGAAGAGAAUAUCUGACAGCCUAAUUUUCUAACAGUGUAUAAAUGUAGUACUGUGCACAUGAAAACUCAAAUCCAUAGCCUAUCUGCACAGCUCUCAGGCUCUGGGGUCAUCACCAAAACACUACAGUGACACCCUGUUCUGCUUCCUCUGAUGGCUCCACCCGACUCACUCAUGCUCCCAGGUUCCUUCCUCUUUGACGGGGCCUGCCAGGGUGCCUCCUUCCUCUCUGAAAUGCCUCCACAGUUCCUCCCAUCUGCCUGCAGGAGGCAUGCAGCCUCCUCAGCUUCCCCCUCCCUUGCUCUGCCUGCAAGAAGCACAGAUGCCUUUGAAAACGAUACUUGCAUUGCUGAACACUGCUGGGAACUAGCUAAGGGCAAUGGGAGUGACCCAUGUGGAGAGGUUCUGAGCCUCCACCCAGGACUUGGGAGGUUCCACUCAACCCGGAAGGAUUUCCCAGAGGCUCCUUUCACCCAACCCGGAAGGAUUUCCCAGAGGCUCCUUUCUUCCUGGGAGUGAGGAGAACUUUGGCUCAGGUAUCAGAAAUCCCAUCCAAGUCCUGACUCUGGUAGCAGCAUUAGUCUUUCUGAGUGUCAUUUUCUCAUCCACAACAUAGGUGAUGAAUUCUUCUCAUAUUAAUCAAAGAAAUACAUAUGCAAGUGUUUUUAAAUACAAAACUCUAUCAAUGUAAGCCACAUUAUUAUGAAUAAAUCUAAAAGCACAUUCUCAUACUUAAUUCAAUGGGUCCUUGUUAUUAUUUCAUAAACUAACAUAAAGGUAGCCAACUAUGAGGUAACACAGCAGAGAAAUGCAGAAGAUCUAAGUAGCAUUGUUUAUACGUGUGUGUAUGUAUAUACUUGGAAAUCAGAGGAGUAUUCUAUAUUCUCUUCAUUUCUUUGAGCCAAGGGUACUUGAUUGAUUAGUUUAAAUAUUAAAUAUGCCCUUUUGUUUUCUCUCAGUUGGACUUCUCUCUGAAAUAUAUUUGCUUUCUUCAUUUCAUUUCAGAAUUUGCUUGGAACCACAGUUUUUAAAAACGUGAAAUAAAGCAGCUGGAAUUUUUGUGAUUUAAAAUCGUAAUGAUGAUGAUGAUAAAUGAAAGCACAUAUCACUCUGGGGGAACAGCAGACUGGAGGAAGGAAUGGACGGUGCAGCCAUGAGGCAGCAUGCAUACCUUGUAUGCUACACUGAGUUUCGCCCUAUGUCCCUACAAAGUAUCAGGUUUUCAGAGGUGUGAGUUCGCAAGGAAAGACUUUAGGUCACCAUGCCUUAAAUGUGGGUGACUAUGUUGGAAAAAAAACAUUUAACUUAUUUCAAUUGCCUGGACUGUGUAGUGGAAGAGAAUCAAUUCUAAGUUAACUGAGUCCCAAACCACAUACAGCUGUAUAGAUUAGGUUUUAUAUCGUGAAAUGCAUUCUUCAGUAAUGAGGAAACUUGUGUGGACUUCAGAAACGAGAAAAAUCUUCUCUGUCCAAGAAAGAUUUAGGAGCAGCAUCUGCGUCCUGCAGAAGAGAUAGACUGGAGCUGGUACAAGUUAGAGUUUGGUUAUUACGGCAGCUUCCUACUUUGCCAGACAGAGCUUUCUUGAAAACGUACGUGAAAUUCUAAUGUUAAAGGUUAGCAAAGGCUAGUGUUUGGUAAGAGACAAAUAAGAGUACACAAUGAAAAUAUUAUCUUCCUAAUUACACUUUACAUUUCAGGGACAGUUUUCAACAAAACACUUCCCGCAUUUCACAUGGUCUUAAUUUUGUAAACACACCUAUUUAUUUCCAUCAUUUUCUCAAUUGUACAAUGGGCUCAGCUAUAUAUAAAUAUGAGACCUCAGCUUCCUAGCCCUAAUAUUAACCUUUUCAUUUUCUGCUUUCAAUUCAUUAAAAAAGGGGAAAAUGCAACAAAGCAUUCAAAUGAUUGUAUGCACAAUAUUACCACAGAAAUAUCUGCACGAGGCUGACACACUAGACCACUGGCGGACAGGCAGCACUUCCUAAGAUCCCUGGAAAGGUUAAUACACCCACUGUGGUAGGAAAGACUGAAUCUGGUGUAUGCAAAGCAGCUUAUGAGAGUCAGGUGUAAUUAUGUAAGUAAAUAUUUCUAAAAAGCUGAAUGUAUGGAAGUCAAAGAUGCUUUACUGAAAUUGUCUGUUGAUUUCUUUCUUUCUAUUGCAGGGACCUUAAUAACUUGCAGACGGCUACACACUUCUCACAUUCCUGAGCCUGAUGCAGAACAAAGGCCUGGAGGGCCAGUUUUCAUCUCAAAACUUGAGUUACACUAUGUGCCCAUGGAUUCAUAUCCUGCUUGCCUUAUUCAGUAACUGAUUUUUAAAUGGAACAACGUUUGACAUGACUUCUUAAAAAAGGUGUUGUUAAGUCAUUAUAUAGAGGGAAAAUAUGAUAACCUUAUUAAAUUACCUGCCCUUGUAGACUGGGUAAUGUGGCAGGCCUGUCCCCCGAAGGUCUGUAUUGAGACAAGAUGCAUGGUGAAAGCCACUGUAAUCCAUUGCGUCCUGCUUCAAGGUGAGUGUGGCAAGAGGAAAACUUUCCCUCUAAAGCCCCUAGAGGAAAAUUAACUCAAACUGGAGGGACUGAGGCAGCAGGAAAGGCAAAAGGUAGGAGUACUUUUAGUUUCCCAGGGUU